rnacentral:rRNA from 1 species
GACGAACGCUGGCGGCGUGCCUAAUACAUGCAAGUUGAGCGCUGAAGGUUGGUACUUGUACCGACUGGAUGAGCAGCGAACGGGUGAGUAACGCGUGGGGAAUCUGCCUUUGAGCGGGGGACAACAUUUGGAAACGAAUGCUAAUACCGCAUAAAAACUUUAAACACAAGUUUUAAGUUUGAAAGAUACAAUUGCAUCACUCAAAGAUGAUCCCGCGUUGUAUUAGCUAGUUGGUGAGGUAAAGGCUCACCAAGGCGAUGAUACAUAGCCGACCUGAGAGGGUGAUCGGCCACAUUGGGACUGAGACACGGCCCAAACUCCUACGGGAGGCAGCAGUAGGGAAUCUUCGGCAAUGGACGAAAGUCUGACCGAGCAACGCCGCGUGAGUGAAGAAGGUUUUCGGAUCGUAAAACUCUGUUGGUAGAGAAGAACGUUGGUGAGAGUGGAAAGCUCAUCAAGUGACGGUAAUUACCCAGAAAGGGACGGCUAACUACGUG